AUUGAACGCUGGCGGCAUGCCUUACACAUGCAAGUCGAACGGCAGCGGGGGAGAAGCUUGCUUUUCCUGCCGGCGAGUGGCGAACGGGUGAGUAAUACAUCGGAACGUGCCCAGUCGUGGGGGAUAACGUAGUGAAAAUUACGCUAAUACCGCAUACGAUCUAUGGAUGAAAGCGGGGGAUCGCAAGACCUCGCGCGAUUGGAACGGCCGAUAUCAGAUUAGGAAGUUGGUGGGGUAAAGGCCCACCAAGCCAACGAUCUGUAGCUGGUCUGAGAGGACGACCAGCCACACUGGAACUGAGACACGGUCCAGACUCCUACGGGAGGCAGCAAUGGGGAAUUUUGGACAAUGGGCGAAAGCCUGAUCCAGCCAUUCCGCGUGCAGGAUGAAGGCCCUCGGGUUGUAAACUGCUUUUGUACAGAACGAAAAGGUUUCUACUAAUACUAGGAGCUCAUGACGGUACUGUAAGAAUAAGCACCGGCUAACUACGUGCCAGCAGCCGCCGUAA
rnacentral:rRNA from 1 species